UUUUUUUCUUUCUUUUUCCCUUUCCUUUAGAAAUAAUAAAAGUGUGGUGGAGAAUCAUGGUUUGUGAGUUAAGUUAAUCAAUAACUUAAUCUCAAAACUUUUACGUAUACAAUCUCUUAUUUGUGAAGUUUUAAAUCUCAAAGAUUUUACACUUUCAAUACAAGUUUUCCAACGCAUUUACGACAUUGAUUUAAGAGUUGAGUUAGGAAUGCGAUCUUCUAGAAUUUUC
rnacentral:lncRNA from 1 species